UGUGUGCGUGCGUGUGUGUGCGUGUGUGUGUGAGUGAGGGAGCGAGUGAGUGUGUGAGUGUGUGGGGGCAUUCGGCUUGUUGUUGUCGCCGACUUCCUCUCCCCUGCGCCCCUCCCCCUCCCCGCCGCCGCUGCAGUGGCCGCUCCUUGGGCCGUAGGAAAUGAGCAAUAACGAUGACAUCGAGGUGGAGAGCGACGCUGACAAACGGGCUCAUCAUAAUGCACUGGAACGAAAACGUAGGGACCACAUCAAAGACAGCUUUCACAGUUUGCGGGACUCAGUCCCAUCACUCCAAGGAGAGAAGGCAUCCCGGGCCCAAAUCCUAGACAAAGCCACAGAAUAUAUCCAGUACAUGCGAAGGGUGAGUGACUUGACUUCCAAGCUCUUCGCUGUUUAUCAGGGCUCAGAAGCAAUGAUUGAUGUUGGGGCUUGA